rnacentral:rRNA from 1 species
UACAGGGGGGGCAAGCGUUGUUCGGAAUUACUGGGCGUAAAGGGCCAGUAGGCGGCCAACUAAGUCCGACGUGAAAUCCCCAGGCUUAACCUGGGGAACUGCGUCGGAUACUGGAUGGCUUGAAUUCGGGAGAGGGAUGCAGAAUUCCAGGUGUAGCGGUGAAAUGCGUAGAUAUCUGGAGGAACACCGGUGGCGAAGGCGGUUCUCUGGGCCUUACCUGACGCUGAGGAGCGAAAGCGUUGGGGAGCAAACAGGA